UGCGCAGGUAGCGCAAUGCCGGCACAUCGCCCACUUCCACUGGGCGAGAACCGACUACGGAGUCCAGUUCGUCGCGGAUCUUCGCGGC
rnacentral:tRNA from 1 species